UGGGGAAUUUUCCGCAAUGGGCGCAAGCCUGACGGAGCAAUACCGCGUGAGGGAGGAAGGCUUUUGGGUUGUAAACCUCUUUUCUCAAGGAAGAAGACAGUGACGGUACUUGAGGAAUCAGCAUCGGCUAACUCCGUGCCAGCAGCCGCGGUAAGACGGAGGAUGCAAGCGUUAUCCGGAAUUAUUGGGCGUAAAGCGUCCGUAGGCGGUUCAUCAAGUCCGCUGUCAAAGGCUACAGCUCAACUGUGGGAAGGCAGUGGAAACUGAUGAACUAGAGUGCGGUAGGGGUAGAGGGAAUUCCCAGUGUAGCGGUGAAAUGCGUAGAUAUUGGGAAGAACACCAGUGGCGAAGGCGCUCUACUGGGCUGCAACUGACGCUGAGGGACGAAAGCUAGGGGAGCGAAAGGGAUUAGAUACCCGCGUAGUCC
rnacentral:rRNA from 1 species